rnacentral:pre_miRNA from 1 species
AUGACCUAUGGAUUGACAGCCAGUCCUGCUUUGUUCUCUGCCUGUCAGUCCUGUAGGCCACAG